rnacentral:rRNA from 1 species
AUUGAACGCUGGCGGCAGGCCUAACACAUGCAAGUCGGGCGAGCGGCGGACGGGUGAGUAAUGUCUGGGAAACUGCCUGAUGGAGGGGGAUAACUACUGGAAACGGUAGCUAAUACCGCAUACCAUCAGAUGUGCCCAGAUGGGAUUAGCUAGUAGGUGGGGUAAUGGCUCACCUAGGCGACGAUCCCUAGCUGGUCUGAGAGGAUGACCGGCCAACCGGGACCUGAGACACGGUCCAGACCCCUACGGGAGGCAGCAGUGGGGAUUAUUGAACAAUGGGCGAAAGCCUGAAGCGGCCAUGCCGGGUGUGUGAAGAAGGCCUUCGGGUUGUAAAGCACUUUCAGCGAGGAGGCGUUACUCGCAGAAGAAGCACCGGCUAACUCCGUGCCAGCAGCCGCGGUAAUU